rnacentral:rRNA from 1 species
AUGGCUUUGCGAGGAGGGACAUGGGAGAACAAAGGACCACAUAUACCAAAGGCAGAAAGCCAGCUGUUUGACAUGACUACUUUGUACUAUCCCAAGGAUGGAUUCACCGUGAUUCAGUUUACUCUGAAAAUCCAGCAGCCACAUGUUGCUAUCUGCGUGCUACAUCGGAAAGGCUAUCCUAAUGUCAAUCGGGACUUACUGACGUCCGCUUGCGAGAGUGUUGGCCGUAGUGCUCCUCUUGAGGAAUUUUUGAUGAGCCCGUGUACUAAUUGGCUUUUUAAUGACACCCGGUCAUAUGAAACGCCGACCAUGAGUGACGGAUGUAAUUAUACUCCUGAGAACUCCAUGAUUUGUCCAUCCUACUACCCUUAUCCUAUGAAUGACAUCUUGUAUGAUAUGCCCACGAGUUUUGGAUACGCUAAUGCUCCUUCUGGAAACUCUCUGAUGAGUCAAGACAACACUUGGUAUACAGACAUGCUUCCCCAACCGGAUCCUCCUGCUCAUCAGAUGUCAAUGCAGAAUGACUUGUCCAUUACUUCGUUUGGGAAUAGCAUGAAUUCUUUUACACCCAACCAGAAUGCCACGAUUGGUGGCUAUGAGCCACGACAACCCGAUACUACUUCUGCUUGGGUUGACCAUUUGAUGGGAAUUACACAUGAUUAUGCUCCAGAUAAACCUUUUCCAUAUCCUAUGCCUUGGGAACACAAUUCAUCUUUUGAGACUAAUCACAGUGAGACAUGGCUGGAAACUUCUCCUCCGGGUGAGCAUUAUUGGCCAACCGAACAUAAUUAUUUUCAAGAUGAGCAAUUCAACUAG